rnacentral:misc_RNA from 1 species
GACAUAUGGGGCGAGCGUUACUCGGAAUUACUAGGCGUAAAGCGCGUGUAGGCGGAAGCGAAAGUCUGCUGUGAAAUCUCCCGGCUCAACUGGGAGGGGUCGGUGGAAACUGCGUUUCUAGAGUGAGGUAGGGGGCACUGGAAUUCCAGGUGUAGCGGUGAAAUGCGUAGAUAUCUGGAGGAACAUCGGUGGCGAAAGCGAGUGCCUGGGCCUUUACUGACGCUGAGACGCGAAAGCUAGGGUAGCAAACAGG